rnacentral:lncRNA from 1 species
GAUGAUGCAAGUGAUGAUGAACAGACAACUAGCAGUGAUGAGGACUGAAGUUUUCUGGUUCUUAUGUGUUUUGUUUAUGAUCCUAGUUGUUUUUUAUUGGCUAUGCCCUAAUUUUUAGGAACUUUAAAGUGCUCUUAGUAUGUAACUUAACUUUUGAUUGCUCUGCUACAUCUAAAGCUUGUUUGUGUUUGUCAACUUUUUGGCUAUGGUUGUAGACUAGUUUCGUGUGGGCUGCGUGUUUUAUUAAAAUCAUAUCAAAUGUCUUGGCAUCCUGAAUAAGAGAAUUUAUUUUUUUAUUAAGUAGGUUCUUCGUGUGAGAGUUUACUUCUCUCAGAUGUGAGGCUAUUUUUUUUUCUGCUGCGCCUGCCUCUGUUGUUU